rnacentral:rRNA from 1 species
GACGAACGCUGGCGGCGUGCUUAACACAUGCAAGUCGAACGGGGUCCAUGAGAGCUUGCUCUCGGAAGACCUAGUGGCGAACGGGUGAGUAACACGUGAGAAACCUGCCUCGGAGUGGGGAAUAACUCGAGGAAACUCGAGCUAAUACCGCAUACCUUCAUUUGACCGCAUGGUCAGUUGAAGAAAGAUUUAUCGCUCUGAGAGGGUCUCGCGGCCUAUCAGCUUGUUGGUGGGGUAACGGCCUACCAAGGCAACGACGGGUAGCUGGAUUGAGAGAUCGACCAGCCACACUGGAACUGAGACACGGUCCAGACUCCUACGGGAGGCAGCAGUGGGGAAUCUUGCGCAAUGGGCGAAAGCCUGACGCAGCAACGCCGCGUGCGGGAUGAAGGCCUUCGUGGUUGUAAACCGCUUUCAGUAGGGACGAAAAUGACGGUACCUGCAGAAGAAGCUCCGGCUAACUACGUGCCAGCAGCCGCGGUAAGAGUC